CUCCCCCACCAGUGACGUAACAGGUGAUUACCAAAUUCGUCAAGCGCUGAAAGUUUUUUGAAGGCACACUUCAAUUGCUUCAGUUCCACCGUUCGUUUGUGGUUAACUAUUAAGACUUCUUCCUUCAGGGGCGUUGAAAAAAGAGUAACAGCAACUAAACGAAGUAAUAAUGCCGAGUCCGUCCGAAACGAGGAAUUUACUAACAACUUUUAUGAUCCUCAUCAUUCUUCUGUUACUUUUAUGGAUACUUUAUUCAGGUGUUCAUAGCUAGAAGAUUAAUAAAUAACGUGAAGAAUGGAGACCAAUAACAGAUUUUUUCCUUUAAGACACUCAAAAAGAUGAUUAAGAUCAGAAUCCUAACUUUGUAUUUAUAAUUAUUUUUAUAAAUAUAAGACAAACUAGAAUAAUGUUUUCGAAAACUAAAAGCAAGAUACAUUUAUGUAAUUACCAUAUUUAAGAAAUUAAUAAAGUUUUGUUAUUAAUGAAGAA